CUCAGGGUCUGGGGCCUCAGCCAUGUUCUCCUUUGGAUCAGCACAGGGUAGGUGCUGAGCCACCAGAACUAUGUAAUCUGAAUGCCUGGCCUGAGAAAGUCCACCUCCAGACUCCUGGAAGUGGGGAGCUGAGCCUUGCUCCCUUUUUCGUCUUCUGAACUUGGCAGCUAGAAGCCUCUCUGCCAUUGAGCCUACUGAUGGGCUGGCUGAGCGACCCCUGCAUCCCUCUGCACGGAGGGCUGCUCUGUUAGAUUUGGUGAGAUGCCAUAGAUGUUGGCUUUCCAAAAAAGAGGACUCUGCCUUUGAUGAAUAGUUUCACUUUGGAUUCCUGCAAGUCCCUCCCACACAAGCUCACAGGGUACCCAUGAAGGACCGAAUGUCAGCCAUCCAUCAAGGAGGCAUGGAGCUUUUCAUUUAUUCGGACGUGAGUCUGUGAGAGGGGGUCGCUGUAAACAUUUAACUCCUUGUCUUUUUGGGUUAGGCUGGGCUCUAAGAGGCCCAGACCUCUCUACCCAAACCAUUCCCUUUCCAGAGAGAUCUACCGGAAAUGAGAACCUCACAGUCACUCAGAACAGCUUUCUGGACUUCAGCUUUUAGGAAAUGAUGAGUACUUAUCCACCCUAAUCCUAC
rnacentral:lncRNA from 1 species